GUGGAGCGGGGACAAAAAGGCUCCCGAGAGCUUUCUCUUUAUAAGAGAAGCAGAAAAAUAAAAUAAAAGAAAGCAAAAGAGAGAGUCUUUUUGUAGAAAAAUUGUGAUCUACGAAGAUUUAACGGUCCAAUCUUCGAUCCGUCUUCGGAAACGUGAUCCUUGCAUUUGGAUCUACGUUUCCACCGAUCGUUUUGAGUGAUACAUUGCAAGGUGGUGUCUAGGAGACCUAGUGCUUAAUAUCAGCACAGCCAAGACAUUGAUGCUUUGGUUGCAGGUCCUGCGGAUAUAGAUAUUGACUCGUCCACCUAGCGUAUGGGAUAUUAUGAUUGGAGCACAUCGCGACAGUCAUUAGUCACGGACUCAUGGGUAGUCCGCAUUUUGGGUAUUUUAUCUAUGGCUCGUGUCCUACGUGGCACAUGUAUUUGUUGAGCCUAUAUUUUAGAAUGUAAUUAGUGUAAUAUGUUAUAUAAGCCUUAAAUAGAUAGAUUUGUAAAUGGCUCUUGUUGUAAUUAACUAUUGUAUAUUAAAUGUAUUUCCGCUUAUGAUA